UUAAGAUUUUUGCGGGAAAUGUAUUCCAUUUUCUACUUUGUUUUGUUUGUUUGCAGCCUUGUUACCAACUAUUGAACACUGAAAUGAGCAUGUAUGAUAGUAAAACAUAGGUGCAGUUUUCGCUGAAGACGUUUUCCCACUAUUGCUGCUGUGUGAGCAUGUUUGCUCAUUAGGCUCACAUUAAUUGCGCCCACCUGUCGGCACGGCUUGGGGUAAAUGGGCACGUCAUUUCUUCCGGGAGAUAUAGGGGUGCUUUGUUAGUUUGUGGGACACAAGUUGCCGUCACUGGCAGUAGGCUACUCGUGCUAAGGAUAGGAGCACGCUGGGUUUCUUUGUCGCAACUCCACGUCGUGGCAUUGAAAACGGUGGUUUGUUGGUGCUGUGACCUGUGGCUCGUGUCACCGUAGCGUGGCGAGCCUCCCCUUAUUGCUGCUCCACUCCAUCCCUCCCUUGACUACGGGAAUAUUCAGACGCCCAAGGCAAUCUGAGGAGGAUAGUGUCUGGAUAAGUCUUGUGGCCGUUGAACCCUUCAUCCUCUCCUGACUGUUUAGCUAAGAGAGCCACAUGGACUCGCCCACACAUAUUGCUUGGAGUGCUGAAGUAUGACAGGAGGAGGUCCUGUACUGUACUGAGAUGGCAUGAAGAGGGCAUGAAGACGGCUGGCUCUGUGUGGACACACAGCUGUGCUCAUGGGUUCAGGUUUCCAGUGGCCUCCACAUCAGGCUUCCUGCACACGUGCCUCAGCCAGAUGCCCCUGGAGAGGAGAGGAGAGGAGAGGAGAGGAGGUGCAAGGAGAGGGGAAGCAAAGCAGAGUACAGCAGAGCAGCACGGGGUCUUUGGCUAACCUUCACGUGUGUGGGCCGUUGAAAAGCCGCGGAGGGAUGUGAAGAGUUUUUUUUUUUUUUUUGUGACAAACUGCAAGCCCUUGCUUUUGCUCCCUCAGCCAUGACUGUGACUUUGGUGUGUAUGUGAUAAACAAAACAAAUCUUUUUCCUUGAGAGUGUUUCUACCCACGGGAGCAGAGUGACAUUUAGUUUGGUUCUUUGUAAAGCACACUGACCAAAGCACAUCGAACCGUUCAGUCACUAACAGCCGUACAAUCACUCAUGUAUUUUUUUUUUUCUCUUUUUAAUAAAUGUCAUUUACUUUGGGCUGUGUUGCUCUCUCCCUCUCUACUUCUCCGUAUACCUGUCUCCAUCUUUACAUUAAUACAUGGGGAAAAAUACCCUUCUGACCACUUCGAUGCGUUGUAGACAUAUCGUGGUAAAGGAAACAUGGAAAGCACCGGUGAGUAUCGGUGUUGCUAAUAUUUCCCAUUUUCACCAGUAGAUGGCAGUAUAAGCCUUUGUUCAUCCUCCCCCCGCUGCCUGUUUGCUUUGCAUUCGCCAACGAGGCAGCACAGCAACGUAAUGGUGCUGUUGCAAAAUGGCAGCCGACUACGGGCCUCUCUAAAACCACCACCUACACCCUCUCCCCACUCUCUUCCACUCCGU